rnacentral:lncRNA from 1 species
AAGAAACAUUUGGGUAUUGAGGAGAGGGAACGGGGGCAAGUUGCGAUGACGAAGCGGGAGAGGAUUUUGCAGAAAUAGGUGUUGAUUCCAAACUUUGAACAGUACUGGCCAUUUGAUCGAGAAAAAGAAAAAGUUAGAUCCUAUAGGCUCUGAUACCAUAAAGAGCUUUAGAAGAAAUCUGUAUUUCAAUUGUAUUAAUAUUCUGUAGAGAUACAAGUAUAUAUAUACACAUUUCUAUACAGUUACAUGAGAUAAGAUAAAAUAAAUACAAAUAUUCAAAAU